CAAAAAAAAAACAAGAGUAAAAACUCGCUGGAAAGAGAGACAGAGAGAGAUGUGUUCGAGAGAGAAAGAGCGAAGACAAAGAAAAGAACAUGAAGAGAAGAUGAAGGGAAGAGUAUUCAUUCGGAGCGACAGCUUUGCUUGCGACUACCAUUGCUCCGUCCGAUUGAUGAAGACCCACGAACGUAGCAGACGAAGCCAUCUCACCUCUCCCUCCGGCCGGAGCUCUCGUACCUCUUCCUCGCACCACCCAAUUUCAGGUCCCUCUCUGUUGGUCUUUCUCCCUCUCUGUCGAUCUCAGUCUCUCUUUGUCGAUCUCGGCUGCAAAUCACAGGUUUCUCUCUCUCUUGGUCUUUCGCCCUCUCUGCCGAUCUCGGCCACAAAUCACAGGCUUUUCUCUCUUUCUCUCUAGGGAGUGGCUGAUCGAGUCUUAGUCUCUUGCCUACUAGUAAGGGUAGUUUGGUUACUAUUGCAAGGGCAUUGAGCAUCUUUCACACAUGGAAGCAUUGUGGCGGAGCUCUGAUGCGAAAAUUGAUAAAGCACAACCAGCCAUUGAAAUCAGGGUAUAUGGAUGCUUUUACUGAGUCUAGGGAGAAAGCUAUGGUUGUCAACUUAGACUUUAUAAAGGCUAUAGUUACAACUGAAGAAGUGUUGUUGCUUGAUCCUCUCUGCUAGGAGGUUCUUCCGUUUGUGGAUCAGCUACGGCAACAGCUUCCUCAUAAAAGCGUGUCUAAAAGUCAAUGAGGGGGUCAAAUGGAUGUACAAGAUAAUGAAAUGCAAUUAUCAUCCGGGGGACAAUGGUUACCUGUUCUUGAAGCCGUUAAAGGUUUGCAGUGUGACCUCCCAUUUGAGUUUCAAGUUCUCGAGAUUGCAUUGAAGGUUGUUUGUACAUAUUUGGACUCUAGUGUAGCAGACCUGGAGAGAAAUGCUUAUUCUGUAUUGGAUGAACUAGUGAGGAAUGUUAGCACCAAGAAUCUUGAGCGCGUGAGGAGUUUGAAAAGAAAUCUAACUAGUUUACUUGCACGGGUACAAAAGGCAUACAUUAUUGAUUUCUUUUUUCUACUAGUUACAACAGAUUACUUCAUGGUGUUGGUGCACUUGCUAGUUAUUUAUUUAUUUUUGUUUUAUCAACUUUGAUGUGGAAAACUUAUACAUGAGAAAAGAGGAAAGCCCAUGUAUCCCCAGUAGUCUAUUUUAAAUUGUGUAUCUUCUUUGCAUGAAGUGUAAAAUCAUGUUGGAGUGUAGAUGUCAGUCGUCGGCUAAAUUGGCGGCAAUUGGGUCUUGUUGCAUUCAUUAUUCCUCUUUUGUUUAUCUGCAUGUAAAGAAUUUAUGGAUGUGUUUGCUGCAUCCUUCUAGUGGCUAUUUGGUAAGA